rnacentral:rRNA from 1 species
GACGAACGCUGGCGGCGUGCCUAAUACAUGCAAGUUGAGCGCUGAAGGUUGGUUCUUGUCCCAACUGGAUGAGCAGCGAACGGGUGAGUAACGCGUGGGGAAUCUGCCUUUGAGCGGGGGACAACAUUUGGAAACGAAUGCUAAUACCGCAUAAAAACUUUAAACACAAGUUUUAAGUUUGAAAGAUGCAAUUGCAUCACUCAAAGAUGAUCCCGCGUUGUAUUAGCUAGUUGGUGAGGUAAAGGCUCACCAAGGCGAUGAUACAUAGCCGACCUGAGAGGGUGAUCGGCCCAAAUGGGACUGAGACACGGCCCCAACUCCUACGGGAGGCAGCAGUAGGGAAUCUUCGGCAAAGGACGAAAGUCUGAACGAGCAACGCCGCGGGAGGGAAGAAGGGUUUCGGAUCGUAAAACUCUGUUGGUAGAGAAGAACGUUGGUGAGAGUGGAAAGCUCAUCAAGUGACGGUAACUACACAGAAAGGGACGGCUAACUACGUG